ensembl:snRNA U6 U6 spliceosomal RNA
AUAUACUGGCUAGACUUAUAAUAAAAUUAAAAUGAUACAGAAAAGAUUAGCAUGGCCCCUGUGCAUGGAUGUGAAAAAUUAUAUAUAGCGAUGGAGUGUGGAU